GUUCUAGAUCUGCACUACCUAAUACAAUAGCCACUAGCCAUAUGUGCCUACUGAAUAUUUAAAAUAUGGCUAGUGUGACUGGGAGCUGAAGUUUCCAUUUUAUUUAGACUUAACUAGCUCAAAUUUAAAUAGCCACAUGUAACUUAUGGCUUGGUAUUGGACGGCAUAGAACAUCUAUAGAAAAUCAAAAGCAGUGGGUAAAAAAUGAGGAAUCAGAAGAAGCCCCCCUCCCACCACCACCCCCACCAACCCUGCCCAGUGUCCUUGGACUCAACUCUAUUGGUCUGUACUACAAAGGAAAUGACAGAUGACACUAGAAUAGUAACUGAAUCUAACGUGACUAAUGAGUGUAUUUGGCUCCAAAUCAGCAAAAUAGAGACACCGUACAAUUGCACUGCCAUGUGAAAACUGUGAUUUAAAAAACAGCUAUUUCUACCACAGAUCCAACACUGGAUCAUCCAGAUUCAUAAGACAAGUUCUUAAAGACCUAUGAAGAGAUGGAAAUAACCACACAAUAUAGUGGGAGACUUCAACACCUCAUUGACAAUGUUAGACACAUAAUCAAGGCAGAAAACUAACAAAGAUAUUCAUGACCUAAACUUGACACUUGACCAAAUGGACUUAACAGACAUCUACAAAACAUUACACCCAAGAACAACAGGAUAUACAUUCUUCUCAUCUGCACAUAGCACAUACUCUAAGAUUGACCACAUGCUCAACCAUAAAGCAAUUUUAAACAAAUUCAAAAAACCAAAAUCAUACUAACCAUACUCUUAGGCCACAGCAUAAAAUAUAAAUCAAUACCAGGAAGAUCUCUUAAAACUAUACAAUAACAUGGAAACUAAACAACCUAAUCCUGAAUGACUUUUGGCAUUCUGAAAAUUAAGGCAGAAAUCAAGAAAUUCUUUGAAACUAGUGAAAACAAAGAUACAACAUACCAGAGUGUCUGGGACACAGCCAGAACAAUGUCAAGAGGAAAGUUUGUAGCAUUAAACACCUACAUCAAAAUGUUAGAAAAAUCUCAAAUUAACAAAGUAACAUCACCUCUAGAGGAUCUAGAAAAAACAAGAGCAAACCAACCCAAAAGCUAGCAGAAGAAAAAAAAUAACCAAAAUCAGAGCUGAACUGAAUAAAAUUGAGAUGCAAAAAUCCAUACAAAAGAUCAACAAAACCAAAGCUGGUUUUUUGAAAGAAUAAAUAAGAUUGAUAGACAACUAGCUAGACUAAUAAAGAGAGAGAAAAUCCAAAUAAACACAAACUCAAAUGACAAAGGGGACAUUACCACCAACCCCACAGAAAUACAAAACACCCUCAGAGACUAUUUUGAACACCUCCAUGUACAUAAACUAGAAAAUGUAGAAGAAAUGGUAAAUUCUUGGAAAAAUACAACCUCCUAAGAUUGAACCAGGAAGAAAUUAAAUACCUGAACAGACCAAUAAUAAGUUCUUAAAUUGAAUCAGUAAUUUAAAAAACCUACCAACCAGAAAGAGCCCUGUACCAGAUGGAUUCACAGACAAAUUCCACCAAACAUACAAACAAGAGCCAGUACCAAUCAUACUGAAAAUAUGCCAAAAAUCAAGGAGGAGGGACUCCUCAUUCUAUAAGGCCAGCAUCACACUGAUACCAAAAUCUGGCAAAGAGACAGGACAAAAAAAGAAAACUUCAGGCCAACAUCCCUGAUGAAAGUAAAUGCAAAAAUCCUCAACAAAAUACUAGCAGAUCGAAUCCAGCAGCACAUCAAAUACCUAACUUACCACGAUCAAGUAGGCUUUAUUCCUGGGAUGCAAGGUUGGCUCAACAUAUCCAAAUCAAUAAAUGUGAUUCAUCACAUAAACAGAACUACAAACAAAAAAACCACAUGAUCAUCUCAAUUGUUGUAGAAAAGGCUUUUGACAACAUUCAACAUCCCUUCAUGUUAAAAGUCAUCAACAAACUAGGCAUCAAAGGAACAUACCACAAAAUAAUAAGAGCCGCCAGGAAAAACCCACAGCAAACAUCAUACUGAAUGAGCAAAAGCUGGAAGCAUUCACCUUGAAAACCAGAACAAGACAAGGAUGUCCAUUAUUAUCAUUCCUAUUCAACAUGGUACUGGAAAUCCUAGCCACAGCAAUCAGGCAAGGAAAUAAAAGGCAUCCAUAUAGGAAGAGAGGAAGUAAACUAUCUCUCUUCACAGAUGAUAUGAGUCUAAACCUAGAAUACUCCAUAGUCUCUGCCCAAAAGCUUUUAGAACUGUUAAACAACAUCAGUAAAGCUUCGGGGUACAAAAAUCAGAAGCAUUUCUAUACACCAACAAUCUCAAGCUGACAGCCAAAUCAAGAAUGCAAUCCUAUUCACAAUUGCCACAAAAGGAUAAAAUACCUAUGAAUACAGCUAACCAGGGAGGUGAAUGAUCUCUAUAGAGAAAUACAAAACAAAGAAGACAGAGACAAUACAAACAAAUGGAAAAAUAUUCCAUGCUCAUGCAUAGGAAGAAUAAAUAUUUUUAAAAGGGCCAAACUGCUGGGCAUGGAGGCUCAUGCCUGUAAUCCCAGCACUUUGCGAGGCUGAGGCAGGUGGAUCACUUGAGGUCAGGAGUUUGAGACUAGCUUGGCCAACAUGGUGAAACCUCAUCUCUACUAGAAAUACAAAAAUUAGCUGGGUGUGGUGGUGUGCACCUGUAAUCGUAGCUACUUGGGAGGCUGAGGCAAGAGAAUCGCUUGAACCCAGGAGACGGAGGUUGCAGUGAACCAAGAUCAUGCCACUGCACUCCAGCCUGAGUGACAGAGUGAGACUCUGUCUCAAAAAAAAAAAAAAAAUUAAUACAAAAUUUUUAAAAAGGGCCAUACUGCCCAAAGCAAUUUAUAGAUCCAAUGCUAUUCCUAUCAAACUACCAAUGAUAUCUUUCAGAGAAUUAAAAAAUAUACAUUCUAAAAUUCAUAUGGAAUCAAAAAAGAACCCAAAUAGCCAAAACAACCCUAAGUAAAAAGAACAAAGCUGGAAGCAUCACACUACCUGAUUUCAAACUAUAUUACAAGGCUACAGUAACCAAAACAGCAUGGUACUGGUAUAAAAAUAGACACAUAGACCAAUGGAAGAGGUUAGAAAACCCAGAUAUAAAGCCACACCCCUACAACCAUCUGAUCUUCAAUGAAGUCGACAAUAACAAGCAAUGGGGAAUGGAUUCUCUAUUCAAUAAAUGCUAUAACUGGCUAGCCAUAUGCAGAAGAUUGAAAAUGGACCCCUACCUUUCACCAUAUACCAAAAUCAACUCAAUAUGGAUUAAAGAAUUAAACUUAAAACCUAAAAGUAUAAAAACUCUAGAAGAAAACCUAGGAAAUACCAUUCUGACAUAGGUGUUGGUAAAUAUUUCGUGAUGAGGUCUCCAAAAGCAAUUGCAACAAAAACAAAAAUUGACAAGUGGGACAUAAUUAAACUAAAGUGCUUCUGCAUGGCAAAAAAAUAUAUAUCAACAGAGAAAACAGACAACCUACAGAAAAGGAGAAAAUAUUUGCAAACUAUGCAUCUAACAAAGUUCUAAUAUUCAAAAUCUCUAAGGAACUUAAACAAAUCAACAAACAAAAAUCAAACCAACCCUUAAAAAAUGGGCAGAGGACAUAAACAGACACUUCUCAAAAGAAGACAUACAUGAGGCCAACAAGCAUAUGAAAAAAAUGCUCAACAUCACUAAUCAUUAGAGAAAUGCAAUCAAAACCACAAUGAGAUACCAUCUCAUAGCAGACAGAAUGGCUAUUAUUAAAAAGUGAAAAAAUAACAAAUGUUGGUAAGGUUGUGGAAAACAGAGAACACUUACACAUUGCUGGUGGGAAUGUAAUGAGUUCAGCCUCUGUGGAAAGCAGUUUGGAGAUUUCUCAAAGAACUUAGAACCACCAUGUGACCUAGCAAUCUCAUUAUUGGGUAUAUACCCAAACCAACAAAAAUCAUUCUACCAUAAAGACAUAUGCACACAUAUGGUCAUCAGCACUUUUCACAAUUAACAUGGAAUCAACCUAGAUGCACAUCAGUGGUGGACUGGAUAAAGAAAAUGUGGUAUAUAUACACCACGGGAUAUUACACAAACAUAGAAAGGAAUGAAAUCAUGUCCUUUGCAGUAAUAUGGAUGCAGCUGGAAACCAUUAUCCUAAGUGAAUUAAUGCAGGAACAGAAAACCAAAUACUGCAUCUUCUCACCUAUAAGUGGGAAUUAAACAAUGAGUACACAUGGAUGCAAAGAAGGGAACAAUGGCCACCAGGGCUUAUUUGAGAAUGGAAGGUGGGAGGAGGGUGAGAAUCAAUAAACUACCUAUUGGGUACUAAGCUCACUACCUGGGUGAUGAAAUAUUAUGUACACUCAACCCUAAUGACACACAAUUUACCCAUGUAACAAACCUUCACCUGUACCUCCUAAACCUAAAAUAAAAGGUGGAAGAAAAAAAAUGUGUUUACCUGGCCAG